rnacentral:lncRNA from 1 species
CCUGUUGAAUCAUGCCUCAUUUAUAAAUAUUCCAUUAUGAGUGUGGUGACCAAUUUGGGUGCUAUUCUAUUGUUGUAGACAAAGCUUAAAUGUGGAAGACUGUAACCAAGUAAUUGCAUGCUCAGGAAUGAUGGGAAAACAGUGACUGUGUUUGAGCAGACGGCGAUCUGUGUCUGUUUACCUUUGGUGUGGUGUCUUCCAUUUGGGCCUGCCGGGUCACUGCCAAGCCUCAGGCCCAUGCAGGGCCUCAGCUCUGAGUGGAGGAGGCCAGUGUGUCUGGCAUACCUUUUAGCCAAAGAAGAUGGAGCUACGGCCGAUGCUCACCAGGAAUCUGCUCACCCAGAGAUGCUGGACCCUGCACAUCCUAGGAUGCUUCUUAGCAGAUGGCUCCAGAGGGCAAAGACCUCCAGUCUGGUCUCAUCGUUCCAUCCACUGGGCUACGGAAGAUCAUCUUUGAGAUCAGGUGGCAUCUCAGCAAGUGGCUUGGUUGACGUUGACUUUGGUCAGCCUUGGCUAACUCGGUGGAAAAGGGGUUUUCUAUGAUUUCCUCCAUUCACGUUAUUGUCUACGAUGCUUUGCUCCUCACUUGCAAUGGAAGAAGAAAGAAAGUUCGUUGAGAGCACAGCUGGUGGCAAUUUUGCUCUGAAUUCAGAGGUUGUGGAGCAAACGGGAAAUUUCAUGCUGCAGCGGCGGUGGAGGCCGACUGAGCUUUAGUGACUUACAUGGUGUGUCCACAACCUGCUUCCCGUGAAAUUGCCUUUUAAGCAUGGACAACCUGGGAAGCUGCAGCUGAGCCGCUUCUCUAGAAGGCUCUCUGGAUUUCAUAACUAGCCUCAUUCUAGCAUUUAGUAAAACUGUGCUGUCCUAUGCCUCAGAUUGACUAAACUUGGCCUGUGCCCUAUUUCAAAAGUCAGCUGGGCUUCUAAAGUGCCAGAGUAGGCAGUCCACGGAGAGUCGUCUUCUCUCAUCUUAAAGAUUCAGGAGGUCUCUCAACUCCCGGCAAGGAGUAUGCUAUGUUCCUGGCUGAACAAACUCACUUACCUCAGUCUAGAAUUAACCCGAGGAAUGCACACCUUUGGUAAUGUUGGUGUUUCUAAUGAUGUCUAAAGUGAUCCUCCUGGCCUGGUGUCAGCCACUUGUGACAAUCUCAUACUCCAUUUAGACUCAGGAGAUCUACUUCUCAUCCAGAAUCUUUUCCUAAAUAAAUGAACUUCAUCCUGUGUCAAAUGAAGGGUCAGCUCAACAUUCACUAAAGUCCUUCUGGCUCUAGAAUUUUCUAAUUUAUUUUAUUCUAGCUCUGCUGGAAGUUGAGACCAGCUGUUUACUCUCAAUAAAAGGCAGUCUCACUCUCCCAUUAGCAUUCUAGACUGUUUUAAGGUCCUGCAUCCUCAUCUUAGCUUUCUUUUCUUUUCCUUUCUUUUUUUUUUUUUUUUUUUUGAGAUGGAGUCUUGCUCUGUUGCCCAGACUGCAGUGCAGUGGCAUAAUCUCAGCUCACUGCAACCCCCGCCUCCCUGGUUCAGGCAAUUCUCCUGCCUCAGCCUCCCGAGUAGCUAGGAUUACAGGUGUCUGCCACCACGCCCAGUGGAUUUUUGUAUUUUUAGUGGAGAUGGGAUUUCACAUUGGUCAGGCUGGUCUCAAACUCCUGACCUCAUGAUCUGCCCACCUUGGCCUCCCAAAGUGCUGGAAUUACAGGUGUGAGCCACUGAGCCCAGCUGACCUCAUCUUAACUUUCUCUCUUUGCUCCACUAAAGCAAAUCCCAAAUUAUUUGGCCUUUUCUCAGAAGGACAGUUUUACAAAGCGUAUCAUCAUCCAUGCAGACACGGAACUUUUUGGGACCCUUUCUAAGGUCUUUACAUCACCCUCCAAGUGUACCUUCCAAGCAGAACACCAACACAAGCGUAACAGGAGUGGGGUGGUAUGGCUGGGUAUGGAUACAGUCAGAUUCUGCCUUUCCAAGCCUUGCUUGUGUGAGAGCUAAACAAUUUCAGGGAACUCACAUCCCACUGUCUUCUGGAGUUGAGUCCAUUUAGAGUAGAGGCCAUGUUAGCUGUGUUUUAAACAUGGCAGCCAACAAUGAAUGUCCUGGACUCAUUCUCCUCUUGGCUUGUGCAGAGAGAGACCAGUCAGGUGGCUUAGAGAUGUUGUUGGCAGGAACCACUGCUCCCUCUAUUUGGGAAUGAAGGACCAUAAAUUGUUGCUGCCUUCCAAACUGCCAAUAAAUAAGUAAAUAUAGAGAGUGUUGACAUUGGUCUCCCUGCCAAACACCAGUCUGCUUCUAUUCUCAUUUUCGGGGAGACUAAAGAGAGAAGGGUUAUUGAAUAGGCUGAAGAAGUAGCCUCAGUUCUACUUGGAAUCUCUUCUCUUUUUGGAAACAUUUCAGUUGGCUUUCUGGCCCUUAUUGGAGAGUGGGACAAUUCUGUCAAACAUGAGAUUGUGUUAGCUUAUUCAUAAUCAUGAUCAGCAAUAGGCUGAAAUGGGCCACUUCUAAAGCUGAACUGUUGUCAACAGAUACUUCAGCUAUAGUUUAGAAUAACAGCUUGGCCCCUGAGAGGGAUGGUGUGAAUUUACCAUGCAGCCAACUCCAGGAGAGUUUAAGGUGUUGGCCAAGCACGUGACACUUUAGGAAUUCUCAGCUUUGGGGCUCAACUUCCUCUCAGCCCACAGAUUCCCCAGGUUUUCAGCCAACGCCUCUUGCGUUAGAGGGUUUUGUGCAUUGACUCAGUCUGAAGUCGGACAACAUGGCAGUGUGUUUCUCAGCAUGGAAGGCUGAGGCAUAGCUUGCUGACUUUUGCGUGUCUGAUGCUUACCAUGCUGUCUGUCACAUCAAAGGCACUUAAUAUAUAUUUGUGGGAUGAAUGAAUGAAUGAAUGAAUUUAGAGAUGCUUGGCUUCCUCUCUGCUGUUAUCAAUAAUCUCAGACUGUUCCUGUAUUUUGAAUUACUCCAGAGCCACACUCCAGGAGGUCUGAAGUCUAGGGUUUGACUCACAUGCUUCUGUUGCCACCUACCCAUGUCCCACUUUCUUUUCCUUAAUACCCACCCCACCAGCAUGGCGGAGGGCUCCCUGUAAAGGCUCUUAGCCCAUGCUGCACGCACCUUUUCCUGUUCUGAAGCAUGUCGCUAGAAAUUCUACACUUUAAAGAAAAACCUUUCACUCCUUUCCUGUUACUUUUCCCAUUUCCCUUGAGAAUGUUCAGGACCCUGCAAUAUCAACAGCUCUAACUGAGAAGAUGUGGCUGAGAAACUGAGGAAAGAGAAGGCCAAGGGCUCAUGGAGGAGUCGGGCGUAAUAACUUCUCUUUCUUGAGAUCUGGUGGGGUUUUCUUUUUGGAUGGCUGGUCUCCUGGGCAGAGCCACCGGCCUUAAAGGGCCACACACACUUCAAAUUUGCAUGGUUGUGGUGGGUUUUUUUGUUCGUUUGUUUUUGUUUUGAGACGGAGUUCCACUCUGUUGCCUAGGCUAGAGUGCAAUGGUGUGAUCUUAGCUCACUACAACCUCCGCCACCCGGGUUCAAGCAAUUCGUUUGCCUCAGCCUCCCAAGUAGCUGGGACUACAGGCGCACACCACCAUGCUGGGCUAAUGUUUUGUUAUUUUUAGUAGAGGCAGGGUUUCACCAUGUUGAUCAGGCUGGUCUCAGAACUCCUGACCUCAGGUGAUCCACCUGCCUUGGUGUCCCAAAGUGCUAGGAUUACAGCAUGAGCGCACCCGGUCUCCAUGAUUCUUUUGACAGCUGAAGUGCAAAGGAAUUAACUUUUUAUUUCACGUUAUUUUAAAAAUAAUCUCAACUUUUAUUUUAGAUCCAGGGGGUACGUGUAUAGGUUUGUUACGUGGGUGUGUUUCAUGACACUGAGUUUUGAGAUAUGAAUAACCCUGUCACCCAAGUAGUGAGUAUAUACCCAAUAGUUAUGAUAGUUUUUCAGCCCUUUCCCUUCUUUCUUACAACCUUCUACCCCCUGUAGUCCCCAGUGUCUACUGUUCCCAUGUUUAUGGCUAUGUGUACCCACUAAUGCUUAGAUUCCACUUAUAAGUGAGAACAUGUGGUAUUUGGUUUUCUGUUCCUGUGUUAGAAAUUAACCCUUUGAAUCAAAGUCUUCUAUAGUUAGUUACUGCUUUUCUUCCAAGUGUGAUUUAUUAUUCACCUUUUAAGGCAUGAAUGUAAGAGCAUAUUCACAUGCACGCACACACUGGAUACUACUGGGUUUUGACGAGUUUAAACAUUACUAAUUUCCCUGCACAUCCUCAUGGCAUCUGAACAACCCAAGACUUCCUACUAAUGGUUUCAAGAGGAGACUUCCAGGUAAUUAGGGAGAUUCUGUUUUCCAAGAAAGGCUCUUCGUUUCAGAAGUCUGGUUUCCAAGAAUUGUGGAUGAUUGGUUCAUUUUGGGGGCUGGUAUAGUUUAACCGGCAGCUUAUGCCACGCUGACCUCUAGCAUACUUGUAUAGACGCAGAGACACAAGCCUGCAUGAUUGUGGGAUUUUCCCUAGAGUCCUAAUAUACCUUUGUUAUUUAUAUUUUUAAAUGUGUGAAAGUACCUGAAAGCUUAGUGGCAAAAGAAGACUGCUGUAAAAAAUUGAAUAAAAAGUACAUUUUAAAAAAUCCAAGUUAGUGAGGUCUGACUUCCUCUGUUCAUUUAUUGCUACUCUUGUUGCUUUUUGGUUUUUGUUUUGCUUCUUGACUGUUGUUGUUUUCCAGGAAAGCUGUCAUUUAUCGUGAGAACAAGAGCAGCCAUGUGUUGAUUUUUCUGGAUUCUUUUUGGAUACUAUCCCAGUGCUAAUGAAGGCCCUUCCAAAGUGCUAAAGAGCUGGUGCCAAAAUCCGUUACGCUGAAAACAAUAGAGAGUGGUACACAGACGGCAUAUAUACCCGUAUAUGUAUACGCACGCCUCGAUAUCUGAAUUAAUACAUGUGUGUGCACCUCCCUCUGUUUAUGCAAAUAUACACACGCAUUUGUGCAAACACAUAAUGUGUGUCCUGGAGCUACACUGAGGAGAGUGUGAUGGCUGCAUUUUAAUAAAAGGACUUUUUACAGCUUCUUGCAGAAUAUUUUAUUUAAUCAAGGCAUAAGCAAAGUUUCUAGAUAUUGCAAUGCCCUAAUUUGUCAGUUUGGAAGCUACUGAAAAUGUACCUUCAUCAAUUACAAAAUUUAGGGAGGAAUAUAAUUAUUGUUAUAUAUCUUACUUGUUUUACUAGGAGAUGGGGAUACUACUACAAGCAGCACAUGGAAAACGCUUAUCUUAGGCUUGGCUGCUGUGCUUAUACUCAUAAGUUGUUUACCA